GACUCUCGGCAACGGAUAUCUCGGCUCACGCAUCGAUGAAGAACGUAGCAAAAUGCGAUACUUGGUGUGAAUUGCAGAAUCCCGUGAACCAUCGAGUUUUUGAACGCAAGUUGCGCCCGAAGCCUUUCGGCCAAGGGCACGUUUGCCUGGGCGUCACAC
rnacentral:rRNA from 1 species